rnacentral:tRNA from 2 species
GAUUCGUUAGCUCAGCUGGUAGAGCAUAUGCCUUUUAAGCAUAGGGCCCCGGGUUCGAAUCCCGGACGGAUCA